GGCUCCGUGGUCAAGCGGUCAAGACAUCGCCCUUUCACGGCGGUAACACGGGUUCAAUUCCCGUCGGAGUCA
rnacentral:tRNA from 1 species